AACAAGCGUAGCAUAAUGGUUAAUAAGUUAUGGUUCGAUACACGCCCCUCCGGGCCCAUGCUGGUUUCAUAUUGAUGCAGGAAGACAAAGAGGAACAUAACAAAAGCGGCGCUCGCCCCUACAACAGCCGACGGAGGCAGGGCCUUGGCGACGUCCUGGGUCUAGUCGGACCCCUCCUCGCGCUUCACCAAUGCGCGGCGGCGAGACGACUCGCUACCGCCUUCGAAGCGGGCGCGGUGGCUGGUCAAAGCUGCCGCUGCUGGAACUGUCGCCAGGGGAAGAGCCACCGUAGCCGGACGAGGCGCGGCCGGCGGGCUCGCCCCCCACCUCGUCCCGGCCAUCGCUGUGGCAUCCCGGCUCAGAGAAAACCGGAAUGCCCCAUAUUCCAGCCCAGAGAUCGAGGUGAAGUCUUCUGGAAUACGGCACUGUUUAGCAUAGAACAACCCAGCUCUCUAUUACAACACGAAUAUGAACACAAGGGUUCCGAUAUUAGAAUGAAUAACAUCGGCACGGCGACACUACGCCAACCACGGUUGCUCUAUACAAGCAGCAUAACAACUCGAAGCAGCGGAACAACUACUGGCAGCGGAACAACGAACGGCGAUGAUGGACUUCAAUCCGCAGGGACUCUGGCUGGAACGCUUAUCCUAGAUCGCGCACACAGGAACCACACCAAACAAGCAAAUCCAGGCACAACCUGCAAACUGGCAUGACACGCCAGGUCAGUAUAUUGAAUGUACUUGCAAGCUCACAAUAACCAGAAGCAUCUAUUUAUAUAUAAAAAGUAAUUGACGGGUUAACCAGAAAAAGAUAAAUAUGCUAGAAAUUACCACAAUAAUCAGAAAUAUCCGAUCAUUGAUACGGUGGACCCUCUAUUAAUCAACAAAACAUGACCCUUAGAUCUUUAUAAGUAAAUCUGGACCCAUACCAUGUCUAUAGGUCUAUGGAACGUCUUGGACUAGAUCUCUUAGUUAGGCCAAUCAAAAGAGAUCAAUUAAAUCUGCCCACGUCACAGAAAAAGAAUAAGGGACAGGUAAAGUAAAAAAAAACUUAAUACCACGUAUCAAAGGAGAUCUCUUAAAUCUGGUCACGUCACAAAAAAAGACUGGCCGUAGGUAAACUUUUUUUUUUUCGGUGAGCCGCAGGUAAAAAACAACGGGCGGCAGGUGCGAUCAAGCAAGUUGAAAAGGAGCAGCAGCAGCUUUUUUUAGCAAGAGGAGCAGCGGCAGCUAUGAGGGAAGUUUCCAUGUUGGGCUACAUGUUUCACAAACAAGAUACAUACCAGUACUAUUUUUCUGUGAGAACAUUGCUUGAAAAUGGAAAAAGAACUAUAGGAUGGCAUGUCAGCUCUAUUCAUGGUUGUUGAGAGACAUGCAACACUGUACGUACUUAAUUUAGGGUAAAGUUAAAAAAUCUUAAUUCUGUAGUUCCAGAGAGAUCUCUUAAUUCUGCGGUUCCAGAGAGAUCUCUUAAUUCUGCUCACGCCAUAAAAAAGGCCAGCGGCAGGUUUUCAAAAAUAAUUUUUGGAACAUGGGAUGUACGAUGAAGAAACUUAAUAAGAAGGAGCAGCAGCAGCUAUACGGUGGAAGUUUCCAGGUUGGCCACAUAUUAUACAAACAAGAUACGUACUGUUUUUUGCAUGAUUACAUUGCUUGAGCAUGAAAAAUAAUUAGACGACGACCUGCGCCUAAUUCUAUGGAUCAUAGUUGAGAGACAUAGUUUACGACUGAAUUUUACAAUCCCAAGAGAUGAGCUCCCGCGACAGCUCCCGCGUCGGGUGAGCGCCCCCGGCGGCGGCGCCUCGAUCUCCCAUCUCCGGCUAGCUGUGCAGCUGCCCAGGCCAGAUCCGGAGUCCCCUGCUCGCCCUCUCUCUUCUGCUAGGCUCGGCUCGGCUCGGCGUCAUGCGUUGGGAAGGGAUGGCGCUCUCGCGUCCGCGCAAGUAGCGGCUGGGCGGGCGCCGCCGUCGCCCGGAUCUCCGGCCUCCGUCCUCCGUUGCGGCCGCCGUAACCGGAUCCGGGUACCCCGCGAAGAUCUCUCCCACGUCAGUCUCAGCGGCGCCCCGUCUCUCGGUUCGCCCGGCAAUGCUGCUCGCCCGAGCCUCCGCGGCGGUCACCACUCCAUCGGCGUCUCCGGCUGCUGCACCCGUCAUCCUUGCGCCGUCUGCGUCGUGCGCUCAGGCUGCAGGCACUACCCCGGUCGCCGGUGUUCUCCCUCGACCGCUGCCCCCAGCUUCCAGGUUCAGGAGGGAGGACGGGGGUCUUAAGGCUGCGUGCACGCCCUGUUCGGAGCCUGUGUCGACAACUGCUUCGGCCCCGACGCCUGGCUCCCCUGUCCUUGUCGAUGCCGCCUCGGAUGUGUUGCUGCCGGCCCCUGUUGCCUCUGUCAAUGGGGACGACGUAGGCUGUGAAGAGGAAAUGGCCGUGACGCUGCCUCCACGGGCGGUGUUGUGGGCCUCCGCUGCUGACGACGAUGAAGAUGAAGAUCACGAAGAGGAGUUGGCUCCCCAGACACCGCAGGCUGCCACCAAGGCCCUCGAUUUCUGGAGGGAUGUGCGUGGGGCAUGACGCAGACACAAAUGAGGGUUGGCAGGAGGUGCUACCACGGCGCGGCCCGCGUCGUCCAACUUCAUCGCCUUCCUCGACAAUGGCUCCUCGUCCCAUCCCUGCUUGGCUUCGCUGUAGAUGUUACAGAUGCUUCGCUCAUGGUCAUCGCGUGGCUGUUUGCAAAGAGCCGUUGCGGUGCUCCCGUUGUUUGGAGAACGGUCAUCGUGCGCGUGGAUGUUGCAACCCAUGGCGUCCUCUAAGCUCACUGCCAUGCAAUGAUGUGCCGCUCGUGUCGCAGCUCGACAUCGUGCAUCGUCCUGCUCUUGCUUCAUGUGAGGGUCCGAUGAGAUCCGCACUCCCAUCCAAGGCGCUUCAUCGUGGGUCUUGGGCGUCUGUCGUCUCUGGUAUCGUUGGCUCACCAACCUCGUCGGAGCUGAUGUUGCAGUCCGCUUUGGCUGAUCAGACUGCGUUGCUGCAAGGUUGUCUGGCGCGUGUUGGGUGCUUUUUAGAGCGAGCGGAGGCUGCUCUGAGUAGACUCUCCCUUGCACCGGCUAUGUUGCAGACCUCUCUGACGCCGCACUCUCCUUGUGCGGCCGGUGUUUGCUCCGCCGAGGAGAGGGGGGCGGAGUUAUAUGGCUCCUUCUCCCCUCGUGUUGGAGAGAAUUCAUCCUCGAUGCCUACCUCCCAUCCUAUGUUGUCUUCCACUAAGGGCGAGUCCAUUGCCAUGCUUGUGGCUCCGGUACUGCAGGUCAUGCCCGAGCUUAGGGAGCUAUGUCUGAGUUUGUCAGUGGAUCAUAUGAAGGUGGACACGUCGACGACCUCGAGCGAGGGUCAAGAUUCACCUUUGUCAAGUGAGCAGCUGGAGAUUCCUAUGGUUGACGAUGCGAGAGGGAAGGCAUCCAUGAUGUCAUGAUGGAUGUGCUCGGUUUCUCGUGUUGUCGGCGUGGCCUUGGUAUUUUGAGUCAUCAUUGCCGUUUUCUCACCCCGGGUUCCGUUGCAUUGUAGAAGUGUUGAGGGUUGUGCUUGUUGGGUGUUGGGAGCACUUGGCGGGCCAUCUAUGUGACCGUGGUGCUUCGUGUUGAGUGAGUUUGUUUGUAUCGGUUUUCGCCCGGUUUUCCGUAAAUUAAUUGGGCAAUUCUCUUCUUCUUAAUUAAUCGAUGAGGCAAUUCUUUUGCCUUCGUUUCGAAAAACAAAAAUAGUUGAGAGACAUACAACCUUGUACGUACUUGCUCCUUGUCUGUACUUACUUGGGCAAACCAAAAAUACAAUGAGACAAAAUUUACACAAAGAUAACUGUAGAGUUUAGCAACGUACUAUGUAGCCAUUCAUGCUCGGUGAAACUGCAAAUUAAGCAUCUGGAUCACCUAGAUGAAACGAAGUAUAAGAGAUAAUAUACAUGGUUUGUGACUAAUCAAGACAUUAGGAUAAUAUGACAUGGCCAAUUCUUUUCUUCAAAAUCUUACAACAAAAGUAUUUUCUUCAUAAAAGAUCCUCACCAUUGAUUUGGACUCCCACUUGAACUGCAAAACAUAAGUGAUUAUGACACAUAAUUAUAAAAUUUAAUUGAGUAUUCGUCUUCGCACGACUCUGGAUCUAUGAAGCAGAUCAUGGGAUGGGAGAGCCAUUGGCUAUGACCGUAUGAUCGUGAAGCACCACUGGUACAAAUUAAUAAACACAUGUACUGCAUGGAGUAUUAUCGGGGUGUACUUCCUAGCAAGCAAUCUACCCGUCCAUGUACAACGGCAAUGCCAAGAUACCGGGAGUAUUUUGUGUCCAUAACUAAUGAUGGGUUAAUACAAUCUUUGUUCUACUUGAAAGGUUGGUUUAAGACCUAGAAUGUGUGGGCUAGCUACCCAGGAUACUAGACCAGAACAACAGAGGCUCAGCGUGAUGAUAGCAGGGAGGUGUGCGGUAAGCACAGAACACGGCGUUAGAAUAAGACACUGGUGGUCAGACAUGUGGUUAGACAAAGUGUGGAGAAGAUGCCGAUGCAGUAUUGGCGAGUAUCAGCUUCAAACUUGUGAUUGAUUCAAACUGGAUUACGCAUCCAAGUAUACAACAAUACAAGUUGUCACCCUUGGCAAAUGAGAUAAUUAUAUUUGGUAGCAAAUAUAGGAAACCAGCGGUAAUGUGCAUUCGUUGACAAUCCAAAAGCACUACCCGGUUCUACUAAGGAGCAUUGUUGACCAAAUGUGAAAGAUUUUGGAACCUCAUAGCUAAUAGAAAAUGAUUUCGAGGGCGAAUACAUGUAGUGAAAUGAACGACUAAUUAAUAAAAAAAAUGUUGGAAAUAUGUUAUCCAAGCAAGUGUAGUGAUCCUGCCACACCACACAACAAAUACAUGUGAGAGUGUACAUAGGAUGUGUGGAUCAAAGAGCGAUGAGAGAGUGGAAGGAAUUUAUAAAAUCAAUACUACAUGUGAUAAGUGUGUUUGAUCAUCGAUAACAACCACGAACGUGUGUCACUAUAAAAUUAUGGGUGCAUUAAACUGUCAAACCAAAAUAAUAUAAUUCUAUUUUCUGAAACAUGAAUGUAAUGUGAAGAAAUUUAUUUUUAACAAUAUAUUCAUAUACAAAAUAGCAAUCAAAGUUAUAUUUUGGUGAUGGUAACCAUUUCUGGAAUGUCAUGCAUUUUUGAACAUGUGAGUAAAUAAGAAAAAGAAGACUCAGAUAAGGAAAACAACAUUUUAUUUGACCAACCAUCGACCAUGGAGGGAUUCUUUUCUUUUAUUCACGUCAUAAAUCAAUUCCUUUUAUUAUUUAAUUAAGAAUGUCAUGUAAAUAUUUAUAUGCAAUAUAAGUACUGGGUUAAAAUUUUAUAUAAUUUUCACCAUAAUAUUAUAAUCUUACACUAUGUCGUCAUAACCGCCGUAUUUAAUUGAAGUUAGAAAUAAAAAUUUCCGUGACUUAUAAUGUGCGUGCUCUUAGUUAGUAUAUUUUUGAGCAAAAUAGUACUACUAAAGAUUAAGAUGCUAUCUCUCCUUAAAAUUUGUAUCACAAAUAUUACUCGCUCAAUUCGUAAAUAGAUGAUGUUUCAAGUAUGUAAACUUUAUCUAAUAUACAUAUGCAUUAUUUUUUAACACAAUACAGACACAGACGCUCAUAUAUAGGCACAUAAUCUCACCCCUGUGAACGCACACACGCACACCCUACCGCAAUGAGCACCUUCAAGAGACUGAACCGACAAAUCAACUUCAGAUUUACGAACUCACCACGGGAACUUCCACAGUCAAUGGGAAUUUCUCCUUUGCUGAACGAACAUUGCCGAAAGCCUGGAAUAAAUACAGGAAAACGUGAGCACUGGUGCCAAGUCAAGGACUUGACCCUGUUGGGCUGGUUCCACCACAAAAGACCUAACCACCAGAGUUAGGCUCAGUUUGCUAUACAUAUGCAUAUUUGACCAUUAGUUUAUCUAGGCAUAUGUUAGUACAAAACAAUAAAAUCUAUAUAAUGCAAAUAAUUUAUAUGAAAAAACUAAUGAUAAUAUUUAAGGUGACCAAUCUAAAUAUUCGUGCAUAUUGGUAAUCAAGAUACAGAAAUGACUUCAUAAUUCUUUUAAAGUAAUUUGUCUUCAAACAUACAUAUUUUUUGUUUGUUAUAAUAGACUUAUUAAGGAAGUUAAUGUUACAAAGAAUUAUACCAUUGUAUUUAUAUAAAAUUCUCAACGAUGCAUAUUGUUUGUUCGUUAUAAUAGACUUAUUAAGGAAUUUAAUUUACAAACAAUUGUACCAUUAUAAUUUCCAAAAGUAGAAAUAUCUAUCUCUUUUAGAAAGUACUAACUCUCUCUUAGGACAAUUUCUAAAAAUAAUAGUACUCCCUGCGAUCGUACAAAUAUAAUUUGAAGAACAGAUCGGUCAUAAACAAAAUUUAGUACAUGCAUAAUUAACAAGUGAAUGACCAAGGGCUAUCACGUAUAUUUAUAUAUCAAUAAAAAACCCAAACAUGUAGAAUAAAAAACUAUGUUCGCAAAGUGUUAUAUUAAAAAAUGUCUCACAUUUUUUUAUAAUUUUUCCUUUAUAUAAAUCAAGUAAUAUAAUUUCACCAUUCAACUUUAUAAAGUUCUAGCCCGCGCAUCGAGCGGGCCACUCUGCUAGUUCAAGACAAACAACAACAUGGCAAUUACAGGUUAAGCAGGAAUUAUCAUAAGAUCAUCAGGAUAACAUGGCAUGAACAACAUGAACUUAAUACUGCUAGAACAAGAUGAGCAUAUAAAUCUGACGAUACUAGCAUGCAACAUGACGACAAUAUAUGCACUAUUUAUUCUACUCGGGUUACUUCGUAACCAUCACAUGCAUCACUUACCAACCUCGGACAUCAUACGAUUAUCUCAGAAUCAAAUCAAGCUUGCUAUAAACAAUACCGUAGUAAUCAUUAAAUGACCACAAGGAGCUUGAUCUUUACCCACGAUUCUCGCACAACAUCACGAAUAUCCAACAACUCAUACCACGGUGAUCAUUCCGGCGAUCACAACCAUGACCAACACUUGGUCUCAAACGGUGAUCUUUCCGGCGAUCACAACCAACUUAUCUCAUCAUCGAACCGAGGUUGUUAUUAAGCACAUUAUUAUUAAUACUGUUGACUCACGGUGUGACCGACUACGAACUGGGCCCUUAUCCGCAGGCGCGGCUAUCGAUAGAUUUAAUAUACACUCUGCAGAGGUUAGCACACUGUACCGACACUACGGAACCCAUGGCCUCGCACUCCCAUUCGGGUGGACCAACGGCGUUCCGACAAAACCGAUCUACUGCCAUGACACUCUCCCGGCCACUCUGACCCACUCCCAACUGGGCUAGUCCUGGGUGGUCCCGUGUCUACAAAAGACACAACGACCGCCGUCGUGGCCAAAACGUACCUGACGGGGACUGGAUCCAUAACAACAACAACGGGCACACAAGGUUAUGUCUGCUUACCGGGCCAGGGUAUGCACGCCCAUAACCUUCCCUCGUUGGAGGCACCGCGAGAGGCAUGACAAUAGACCCAGUUAGGACCUUUCCAUAAAGGUAAGUGUGGUUGCACUGGUCAGCUCGAUAUGGUGGCACCAUGACUCAGCCAACAGUUGUUCAAGUUCACUUUAAUCCGGUUAAACUUGAAUGCAAUAUGCUGAGCCAUGAUAAAAUAACAUGAUGCAAUUACAACGCAUGAACAUGAUAUCAACGUAAUCAUGAGGGUACAACAUAACUAUCCACCAUAUCAACAAUGAAUCAUAUCCAACUGAGCAUAGUAUAAUGACGAGCAUGAAUAUCACAAGUACAACACUACUCAUAGAAACCUAGCAUGACCACUAGCAUCAACAAUAAAUAUCAUGCAAGACAUAUCAACAAUGCUACCAUGCAAUCAUUUAACCAAUUGGAUGCAAAUGGACAUGCAUAACGACGACGCUCGGAACAAACGUUAGUCAUGCACCGAAGGCCAUCAUCAACAUCAACAUGUACGACUAGCAAGAGUAAGCAUAUGAAAGGAAUACUAGCAACUAGCAGGGCAUGAUACCCAGGUGCAUAACAACAUAGCAAGAAAGUAAGCACUAACCCAGAAGCAUUACCGAAACGACGAUAACCAUAGUUUAAACAAGCAAACAUUUAAUAAAUAUUCAAGUUGAAAAACAUGGCUACUGCAUGACUAUCAUGCAAGUGGGUAUUGUGGCUUGCCUGGGGUGGAAGAAAUCACCGGGACAAAGUGCGAGAAGCUUGCGGAAAGAAACGCGGGAAGCAGAUCUCUCUCGGAGGGGGCUGAUUAAGGGCAAGGGAAAAAUGGUCAUUUUAAAAAUGUGAACACAUGGUGAAAAUGAUACCAACAGAACGGGCUCGAUGAAACGAAGAAGUGGGCUUUGGAUUCACCUCAUUUGGAGUUGUGGUCAAAAAGAUAUAGAGGUUUUUCUGUGAGGGACCUAUAUGUAAAGAAAUCAUCAUAAACAGGCCCUUGGCUGGAAAAACAGAACACACAAUCCAGAGAAUACGCUUUCAGUGAAGUGAAAGCGUAUUCCUUACCGCAGAAAACCAGAGUACGCUUUCAUCGCAAGAAAAUGUAUUUCUGGGAUACCGCUUCCACUUAUCCACCUCAGCGGUGGUGGGGUC
rnacentral:lncRNA from 1 species